AUGGCUGUCGUCAGCUCGUGCCGUGAGGUGUUGGGUUAAGUCCCACAACGAGCGCAACCCUCGUUGCUAGUUACACGUAUCUAGCGAGACUGCCGGCAUAUAACCGGAGGAAGGUGGGGAUGACGUCAGGUCAGUAUGGCCUUUAUGUCCAGGGCUACACACACGCUACAAUGGUCGGUACAGAGGGUCGCGAAGCCGCGAGGCGGAGCCAAUCUCAAAAAGCCGAUCCCAGUUCAGAUUGCAGGCUGUAACCCGCCUGCAUGAAGUCGGAGUUGCUAGUAACCGCAGGUCAGCCAUACUGCGGUGAAUACGUUCCCGGGCCUUGUACACACCGCCCGU
rnacentral:rRNA from 1 species